AAGGAGUCUAACAUGUAUGCGAGUAUUAGGGUGGCAAACCCUGAUGCGUAAUGAAAGUGAAAGGGUGGGAUCCUCGGAGCACCACCGACCGGGCCGGAGCUUCUGCUCCUGGUCUGAGUAAGAGCAUAUAUGCUGGGACCCGAAAGAUGGUGAACUAUGCCUGAAUAGGGUGAAGCCAGAGGAAACUCUGGUGGAGGCUCGGAGCGGUUCGGACGUGCAAAUCGAUCGUAAAAUAUGGGCAUGGGGGCGAAAGACGAAUCGAAGGUUCUAGUAGCUGGUUUAC
rnacentral:misc_RNA from 1 species